rnacentral:rRNA from 1 species
GAUGAACGCUAGCGGCAGGCCUAAUACAUGCAAGUCGGACGGGAUUCAGGAGCUUGCUUCUGAUGAGAGUGGCGCACGGGUGCGUAACACGUAUGUAACCUACCUUUAUCAGGGGGAUAGCCUCUCGAAAGAGAGAUUAAGCCCGCAUAAAAUCACAGCACAGCAUUGUGUAAUGAUCAAAUAUUUAUAGGAUAAAGAUGGGCAUGCGGAACAUUAGCUAGAUGGCGGGGUAACGGCCCACCAUGGCGACGAUGUUUAGGGGAUCUGAGAGGAUGGCCCCCCACACUGGUACUGAGACACGGACCAGACUCCUACGGGAGGCAGCAGUAAGGAAUAUUGGUCAAUGGGCGGAAGCCUGAACCAGCCAUGCCGCGUGCAGGAAGACGGCCCUACGGGUUGUAAACUGCUUUUAUACGGGAAUAAACCCAGAUACGUGUAUCUGGCUGAAUUUACUGUAAGAAUAAGGAUCGGCUAACCCCGUG